AAAGAACAAGGAAGAUCUGGGGAAGAUCAUUGGUUGCUGCAAGGCUCCUUUAGCUUUGGGCAGGUCACUAGCUUGGUGCUGCCCGGGACAGCAUUUUGAAAUUUCACGAACAUUUAUUUGGUUUGAAGAAAUUGUCUGGGAUCCUUAUGAGCAGUUAGCACUAGUAGCAGAGAGAACGUCUUUUAAAAAUCCCCAAAGAGGGGGAGAAGUGAAACUUUUAAGUACUUUGGGUUUUUUGUUUAAACCAGCAUUUAAGUUCCCAAAAAUUACAGAGAAAAUAAGACAUUUAUGAAGAUGAACUUUCUUUUUAUCCCCUCAUAGUAGUGGAGGAGGCGGUGGUGGCGGAGGCGGUGGAGGUGGCGGAGGAGGCGGGAGACGCCGUGACUCUUACUAUGAUCGUGGAUAUGAUCGAGGAUAUGACAGAUACGAAGAAUAUGAUUACCGGUACAGAAGAAGAUCGCCUAGUCCGUAUUACAGUCGAUAUAGAUCACGGUCAAGAUCCCGUUCCUAUAGCCCAAGACGCUACUGAGGAAUUGGACAAUUGCUGUUGAGGACUUGGAUUUUUAAAAUUCUUCUGGAUUUCUCCAACCUUUUAAUCUUCCCCAUCUCUCAAGAACCCUUAAAAAAUCUUUGGUUUAUUUAGAAUCUACACUUUUUAAGUUGAUAUAUUGCUGUUUUCACCCCUUUAUUGUACUCUGGAAGAUGUAAUUGUUGUAGUUUUGAGUAGUCAGACAUCUUAAAGGAAACCCCAGUGUUAAUACAUUUUGUAAAUUCUUUUUUUGUUUUUACAAAAAAAAAAUUAACUCAUCUUAAUCAAAUGAGGAAAGAAAUUGUUGUUUUUGAAAAGCUUGUUUUGUGUGAAUUGUGCGCUGCACACAUUGUAACAGAAAUUUUCACUGACAAGUAACUUGGUGUUUUGGGGGUGUUUUGUUUGUUUUUUGGUUAACUGUUUGCCUGUUUAUUUUAAGAAAAUAGUAGCCUAUCUAAAACUGUUCAGUAAUGACAAAUUUAAAUGUGGGGUGGCAUGGAACAGUCAAAUAGUUGAGUGUAGAAAGUUUGAAGUUGUAGAAGAUAAAUGACUCUUGGUCAUUUCUUUUGAAAGGAAACAAAAUUGAACCCUAAAAAUUAGGUCUGUGUUUUAGAGACGAAAAGCUUAUGGACUCCUGCACAACGUAUUGCAUUUGAAAUACAUCUGUUAAACCUUGCAAAUUUAAUUAAAGUGUGGUUUUUGUGUGUGUUUUUUUUAAAAACCUUAUUCAGUUUAAAUGUUCCCUUAAUCAGUGAAGGACAACCCCUAUUUAUUGAAUAUAGCAAUUUAGUUAUAUAAUUUGCUGUUCAUAGAAAUUUUGGUAUUGGGAUAAUGGGUUAAGCAGGUUAUAGUUUACAAUCCUUUGAAGUGAUAUGUGUGGGGGGAUUUUACCAUAAGUCUGCUCUCAUUUCAAAUAAAAGUUAAUUCCAUUG
rnacentral:lncRNA from 1 species